rnacentral:rRNA from 1 species
AUUGAACGCUGGCGGCAUGCUUUACACAUGCAAGUCGAACGGUAACAGGGAGCUUGCUCCGCUGACGAGUGGCGAACGGGUGAGUAAUGCAUCGGAACAUGCCCAGUCAUGGGGGAUAACUACGCGAAAGCGUAGCUAAUACCGCAUACGCCCUGAGGGGGAAAGUGGGGGAUCUUAGGACCUCACGUGAUUGGAGUGGCCGAUGUCAGAUUAGCUAGUUGGUGAGGUAAAGGUUCACCAAGGCGACGAUCUGUAGCGGGUCUGAGAGGAUGAUCCGCCACACUGGGACUGAGACACGGCCCAGACUCCUACGGGAGGCAGCAGUGGGGAAUUUUGGACAAUGGGCGCAAGCCUGAUCCAGCCAUGCCGCGUGAGUGAAGAAGGCCU